rnacentral:rRNA from 1 species
GACGAACGCUGGCGGCGUGCUUAACACAUGCAAGUCGAACGGAAGAGGCCUGCUUUUGUGGGGUUCUCGCGUGGGAAGGGGGUGAGUAACCCGUGAGUAUCCUGGGCUGUGGUGGGGAAUAACUGCAAACGACUGGUACUACUGCCUGCUAGCUGCUGGUGCAACAUGGGGGGGUUUGGACCGUUUCCUCUCAUGGGAGUGUAGGUGGGAUUUGUUAGCUGGUGGGGUAAAGGGCUACCAAGCGGACGAUUGGUAAGUGGUCUGAGUGGAUGAUCAGUCACACUGGAACUGAGACACGGUCCAGACUCCUACGGGAGGCAGCAGUGGGGAAUAUUGGACAAUGGGCGAAAGCCUGAUCCAGCCAUGCCGCGUGUGUGAAGAAGGUCUUCGGAUUGUAAAGCACUUUAAGUUGGGAGGAAGGGCAGUAAGUUAAUACCUUGCUGUUUUGACGUUACCAACAGAAUAAGCACCGGCUAACUUCGUG